rnacentral:rRNA from 1 species
GACGAACGCUGGCGGCGUGCUUAACACAUGCAAGUCGAACGGAAAGGCCCUGCUUGCAGGGUGCUCGAGUGGCGAACGGGUGAGUAACACGUGGGUGAUCUGCCCCUUAUUUUGGGAUAAGCCUGGGAAACUGGGUCUAAUACUGGAUAGGACCAUGUUGUAGGUGGUGUGGUGGAAAGAUUAGUUUCGGUAAGGGAUGAGCUCGCGGCCUAUCAGCUUGUUGGUGGGGUAAUGGCCUACCAAGGCGUCGACGGGUAGCCGGCCUGAGAGGGUGGACGGCCACAUUGGGACUGAGAUACGGCCCAGACUCCUACGGGAGGCAGCAGUGGGGAAUAUUGCACAAUGGGCGCAAGCCUGAUGCAGCGACGCCGCGUGGGGGAUGACGGCCUUCGGGUUGUAAACUCCUUUCAGCCAUGACGAAGCCCUUGUGGUGACGGUAGUGGUAGAAGAAGCACCGGCUAACUACGUG